rnacentral:lncRNA from 1 species
CUUUCCUUAAUAAGUGAAGAGGAUGCGUUCGGUUAGCCAUAGAGACGGGUAUAAGCUGCCAAUGGAUUGCUGUUCUCCAAGCUGUCAGAGAAAGUGAGGUAUGAACUAUAGUUCAUUAAUGGGCCAAAUAGCAUUAAGCAUGUACUUAUAACCAUUCAAAAUACAUCUUCAAACUAAUUAGUAAGGUGGAUCGUGGUGGGUGUAUGAAACAAACUAAAAUACAGGGGUAUGUGCGGUGUCCAUUCUGAGUUCAGUAUUUGCAUUGAAGCAUCUAUCAUGUUAACAGAAGAAACAUGCCUAAUUAUUAGAUUGUGGGUACUUGGCAAGGGAUAAAAAGGGGUCGGUGGGAUGAAAAGGUAUGUUAUUAAAAAAUAUAUGAUUGCCAGGCUUGAACUAAAUUAUAUAUAAUCUUCAUUUGUCUUUUCAAUAAUACCUCUAAUGACUUCUGGGGAGAUUAGUUUGCUUUUUAUAAUCAGACGUACAUGUGCAGCAAGGUGCUUACAAGUGGAGAAUUGAGGAAGAUCGUUCGAAGAGAGCGUUGAGUCGUUGACUAUUGCGGCCGAUGAAGACAAGGAUACAUCGGGCUUCUCCCUCUGCUAUGUCCAUUGUCCCGUAUGUGUCCGUCGUACUGCUAUUUGCUUCUCUCUCAUUUCUCUUUCUCUCCUCUUUUUUAAUAUAUGAACUUUAGUUAUAAAGUUCUAUUCUUUUUUUAACUAUUUAUAGAUACAUUGGACUUUUAAAGUAAUUAAUAUAUUGAUGACUUAUAUUAAAUUUUGUUCACCAGUUAAUAUAUGCUUUUUUUUAGAAAAUCAAUGGGUUGAUAUAUGUUUGUGAGAUCAAUGUGCC